UUCUGCGUGGAUGUAGGUACCCAAAAAGAAGCGCCGGCUAACGUACCAGCCAGCAGCCGCAGUAAUACGUAGGGUGCGAGCUCUAAUCGUAAUUAGUGUAAGUAAAGCGUGCGCAGGCUGCUUUGUAAGACAGGUGAGAAAUCCGCCUGGCUUAACCUGGGAAUGGCGCUUGUGGGGCAAGGCUCGAGUGCGGCGGAGAGGGGAUGGACUUCCACGUGUAGCAGUGAAAUGCGUAGAGAUAUGGAGGAACAGUGGAGAAGGAAGGCAUCCCCUCGGGUCGACACUGUCAGUCAUGCAAGAAAGCGUGGGGAGCAAGCAGGAUUAGAUACCUAGGUAGUGCACUCCCUGAACGAUGUCAAGUGGUUGUUGGGGGAGUGAAAUUCGUUAGUAAGGAAGCUCACUAAUGAAGUUGACCGCGGGGGGAGUUCGCUAGCAAGAUUAUAAAUCAAAGGAAUGGACGGGGACCCGCACAAGCGGUCGAUGAUGUGGAUUAAUUGGAUGCAGCGGGAAAAACCUUACUUACCCCAGACUUGUCCAGAACCAGGAAGAGAUUGUGGGGUUCCCGAAAGGGAAUUCGAACACAGCAGGGGCAUGGUCAUCGUCAGUUCGGGUCGUGAGAUGUUGGGUUAAGUCCGGCAACGAGCGCAACUCUUAUCAUUAGUCGUUCAGCAAGGCCAUUUUAAUGAGACUCCCGGGGCCAACCCGGAGGAAGGUGGGGAGGACGUCAAGUCUUCAUGGCCCUUAUGGGUAGGGCUUCCCCCGUCAUCCAAUGGUCGGUCCAGAGGGAUGGCAAGCCGGGAGGUGGAGCCAUUCCCAGAAAGCCGAUUCUAGUCCGGAUUCUAUUCUCCAAUUGGAUGGCAGGAAGUCGGAAUCGUUAGUAUUCGCAGAUCACCGUGCUGCGGGGAAUACGUUCCCGGCUUUUGUCCCCCCCGCCCGCCCCACCAUGGGAGUGGGUUCCACCAGAAGUAGGUAGGUUACCCUUCGGGAGGCCGCUUACCACGGUGAGACUCAUGACUGGGGGAAGUCGUAACAAGGUAGCCGAAUCUCUGAAGAUCCGCGCACCG
rnacentral:rRNA from 1 species